UGGGGAAUUUUCUGCAAUGGGCGAAAGCCUGACAGAGCAAUACCGCGUGAGGGAUGAAGGCCUUCGGGUCGUAAACCUCUGUCAGGAGGGAAGAACGGCCGCAAGGUGAACAAUCUUGCGGUUUGACGGUACCUCCGAAGGAAGCGCCGGCUAACUCCGUGCCAGCAGCCGCGGUAAUACGGAGGGCGCAAGCGUUGUUCGGAAUCACUGGGCGUAAAGCGCGUGUAGGCGGCCGGGCAAGUCGGAUGUGAAAUCCCGAGGCUCAACCUCGGAACUGCAUUCGAAACUGCUCGGCUCGAGUCUCGGAGAGGGUGGCGGAAUUCCCGGUGUAGGGGUGAAAUCCGUAGAUAUCGGGAGGAACACCAGUGGCGAAGGCGGCCACCUGGACGAUGACUGACGCUGAGACGCGAAAGCGUGGGGAGCAAACAGGAUUAGAUACCCGUGUAGUCC
rnacentral:rRNA from 1 species